AACGAACGCUGGCGGCAGGCUUAACACAUGCAAGUCGAACGCCCCGCAAGGGGAGCGGCAGACGGGUGAGUAACGCGUGGGAACGUACCCUUUGCUACGGAAUAGCUCCGGGAAACUGGAAUUAAUACCGUAUGUGCCCUACGGGGGAAAGAUUUAUCGGCAAAGGAUCGGCCCGCGUUGGAUUAGCUAGUUGGUGGGGUAAUGGCCUACCAAGGCGACGAUCCAUAGCUGGUCUGAGAGGAUGAUCAGCCACAUUGGGACUGAGACACGGCCCAAACUCCUACGGGAGGCAGCAGUGGGGAAUAUUGGACAAUGGGCGCAAGCCUGAUCCAGCCAUGACGCGUGAGUGAUGAAGGCCUUAGGGUUGUAAAGCUCUUUCACCGGAGAAGAUAAUGACGGUAUCCGGAGAAGAAGCCCCGGCUAACUUCGUGCCAGCAGCCGCCGUAAAAC
rnacentral:rRNA from 1 species